CUCCAAAUCCAUCGCAUCGCUUCUCCUCCGAUACAAGUGGACCCGCGUGGCUUUCUUCCACUCCAAUAUGACUGGCACAGAGUUCAAUGCCAUGGCGGAUACCAUCCUGGAAACGUUUGACAAUUAUGGGAUUGAAAUCAGCCAUCGCAGAAUUUGGUCCACUAUGUAUCACUACGGGUGGAAGCAGCCCAAUUUCUUCAAACAAUGGAUUAAGGACACUUGUCAAGGGACCUCUUUUUGAACUGCAAUCUCCUUGAAACGAUUUUUUUCCAGAAUGAUUUUGUUCAUCUUGAACCGAUGGAAAAAUUCGGUUAGGAAAUGUUUUGCUACUGUUCGGUUUCUUUGUCUUUGUCUUUAUCAAGCAAACUGUAGGCUAGUAAUAAGGGAUUGUACAAGUAUUCUUCACUGUUUUCUGAACCAUUACUCUUCACGGGGUAACUCAAAAUACUGAUAGUUUUUUUGCAA